AUUGAACGCUGGCGGCAUGCUUUACACAUGCAAGUCGAACGGUAACAGGCCUUCUGGUGCUGACUAGUGGCGAACGGGUGAGUAAUGCAUCGGAACGUUCCCCGCUGCGGGGUAUAACGCAGCGAAAGCUGUGCUAAUACCGCCUGUGAUGUGCGGCUGACAGCGGGGGACCAGGCAGCAAUGUUUGGCCUCGCGCCUUUGCAGCCGCCGUUGGCGGAUUAGGUAGUUGGUGGGGUAAAGGCCUACCAAGCCGACGAUCUGUAGCUGGUCUGAGAGGACGACCAGCCAAACUGGGAGUGAGACACGGCCCAGACGCCUACGGGAGGCAGCAGUGGGGAAUUUUGGACAAGGGGCGGAAACCUGAUCCAGCAAUGCCGCGUGCGGGAAGAAGGCCUUCGGGUUGUAAACCGCGUUUGUACGGAACGAAAAGGCUCUGGCUAAUAACUGGGGGUGAUGACGGUACCGUAAGAAUAAGCACCGGCUAACUACGUG
rnacentral:rRNA from 1 species